ensembl:lncRNA
GCAGAAACUUCUUAUGAAGUUCAGAGUGCACUGCCACAGAGUGUGUUUUUUUUCCUCAAAUGUCUGUGCAGUCUGUCACCCUGUUAGAUGUGCAGCAGAGAGUGUUGCUUACAGUUGACGAGGGCCAGAUUGUUGGUCACAGUGAAGUGACAGGGAAGGAUGUUAUGAGAUGUACGCUGUCAUCGUGUGACGAGCAUGUGUUGAGUGAUGUCUAGGCAGAGCAGAGCAGUCAAUGUCUCGUUCUGUUUGGCAUACCGUGUAUCGUCUCAUUUACGCUGAUUGUUGUGCACUGUAAAGGGAUACUAGGGGAGCUUCAGUUUCACAACUUUCAAGAUGAACGUUUACUGGAUACCCACAAUCCUCCUCUCCCUCUGCCUCUCCAGUGCUGCCAACAUGAUAAGCUCCCACAACUGUAAAGUUCAGACAGAGUGUUCCCAGAGCGACUACAUGAGCACCAAACCCAGAGCUCCACUCAGGGGGCCCAGGAAGAAGCAGGGGGUCCAGCAUCCAAUCCGAAUGGGACGAUACUGACCACAGUCAUCCUCAGAUCACAAUCCUUCUCAUACAAACGCUAAACGAGAAUUGAGCCUUAAUUUGCCUUUGAGAGCUGACUGCUGAAACACACCAAGUUCUUUAUGUUAGCCUGUUCUUUAAGUCACGUGGUA